rnacentral:pre_miRNA from 1 species
AAUUUCAGCUGAAAAAGUCAUGAACAUAAAAGUUGUAGAAUUCAUCAAGACAUAUAACUUUUAUUUUGAUCAUUUCUUCAUCCGACAAAGUGACAAUAAUAUUGUUCACAAAAUUUGCAUAUCUCUCUUAUAGUUUAUAAAACCAUAUUAGAGAUAUAUAAAUUUUGUGAACAAUGUUACUAUCACUUUAUCGGAUGAAGAAAUGAUCAAAAUAAAAGUUAUAGAUCUUGAUGAGUUAUACAACUUUAUUGUUGAUGACUUUUUCAGUUGAAAUC